UGGGGAAUUUUGGACAAUGGGCGAAAGCCUGAUCCAGCAAUGCCGCGUGUGUGAAGAAGGCCUUCGGGUUGUAAAGCACUUUUGUCCGGAAAGAAAUCCCUGGCUCUAAUACAGUCGGGGGAUGACGGUACCGGAAGAAUAAGCACCGGCUAACUACGUGCCAGCAGCCGCGGUAAUACGUAGGGUGCAAGCGUUAAUCGGAAUUACUGGGCGUAAAGCGUGCGCAGGCGGUUUGCUAAGACCGAUGUGAAAUCCCCGGGCUCAACCUGGGAACUGCAUUGGUGACUGGCAGGCUAGAGUAUGGCAGAGGGGGGUAGAAUUCCACGUGUAGCAGUGAAAUGCGUAGAGAUGUGGAGGAAUACCGAUGGCGAAGGCAGCCCCCUGGGCCAAUACUGACGCUCAUGCACGAAAGCGUGGGGGAGCAAACAGGAUUAGAUACCCUGGUAGUCCACGCCCUAAACGAUGUCAACUAGUUGUUGGGGAUUCAUUUCCUUAGUAACGUAGCUAACGCGUGAAGUUGACCGCCUGGGGAGUACGUCGCAAGAUUAAAACUCAAAUGAAUUGNCGGGG
rnacentral:rRNA from 1 species